CACGUAGGGCGCAAGCGUUGUCCGGAAUUAUUGGGCGUAAAGAGCUCGUAGGCGGUUUGGUUAGUCGGAUGUGAAAUCUCCAGGCUCAACUUGGAGGGGUCAUCCGAUACUGCCAUGACUAGAGUUCGGUAGAGGAGUGUGGAAUUCCUGGUGGAGCGGUGAAAUGCGCAGAGAUCAGGAGGAACACCCGUAGCGAAGGCGGCACUCUGGGCCGAUACUGACGCUGAGGAGCGAAAGCGUGGGGAGCGAACAGG
rnacentral:rRNA from 1 species